AAAACACAUUCCUAUCAAUUCUAUUUCCAUUCAUCUUCUCUCCAUCAAAUAAUCUAAAAGACAAUCAAAGCUUCUACCUAUCACCUCUUGUUCCAUAUUCUUUUGUUGAAAGAGAACGAUGAAGCGUGAUGAUGAAAUGAUCUCAUAAGCCAAUCGAGUCCUUACUCCCCUAAUACCUUGAACCAUCCCACACGUCUCGUCAAUCGAUUCUCAUCGCCGAUCUGUUGUUGUCGCCGUGUUCUUGCCGUCGGGUUCGAAGUUCACCUAGUCGUGUUUGUCUGGAUGUAUUCCCGCUGUCGUGUUUGUUUGGAUGUAUUCUCGUCGCCGAUCUCGUCGCUUUGCCUUAUUAUGAAUUGGAUUAGAUACGAUGAAGUCUAUGAAAGGAGAAUGAACAAACACGGUGAUAGGAGACCUGAAGAUUGGGUAAUUUCGUUUUUGCUAAAGUCAAAAGGCUUCCAUGCUUGGCCUGCUAAGGUUUUUGUGACAGAACAACCUUGAACAACAACACAGUCAAUACCACAAUUGAUUGGAUAGGAAACUGUAAUAUCAUCAAUGAAACGCUUCUAUAUGUGCCUUGUGGUGUGUAUUUGACUCAGAGCUUCAAUCAUUGAUAUUGAGUUUGGUGAUCUCGUUCUUGCUAAAGUCAAAGGCGUGCUAAUGUAUCUAUCUCUCUCUCUCGGUUUAAUUCAUGGUCAUGUUUUAUUUUUUUCUAGGGUGGUCUUGCACAUACUAUUGUUUAUUAGUAUAUUCUGCUCUGUUUUGUUUUCACGUAUGCUUUUAGCUAUAUAGUUCUUAUUUUCAUCUUAUGAAAAUUCAGGAAGGGGUUCUUGAACUUCAAAAUGAACUUCAUAAAAAGUUUGGAAUUCAGGAUGAACAUAAGGAUUGAUAAUCAGAGAACAAUAAAUAUUUUUUUUUGGCUUCAUGGUUUUUUUCGUUUGUUGUAUGUUGGUCUUUAGUUUGCUACUAGUUUUAGGACUGAGUAAACAUCUUCAUGAUUUCUCAAUUCUUGACCAUUGUGAGAACUGAAAUCUAGUUUCUCCUUCCGAAGUAAUUCGAAUGUGGAGGAGCUUAUCGCCGUUUAUAAUUCCGAACUGAAUUGAGAGAGUUUGGAGAAUUUGAAUUUGUAUUACUGCUUUUGGAAAAUCUUUCUGACCCCUUACAAAAGACCCCUUCCUUACAUAUUUAUACCGACCAAUUUAUUAUCUAAUUAAUACCUAAUUAAUAAGGCACGAUUUGCGCGACCCAAUUAAUCCUCUUGAAUGCGGGAAUCUUUGACCGGGCCCGAGCUGCGAGCUGACCAACACGGAUCACCUCCGCGCUCACUUCCUUCCUCCAGGCCUGAUGGGCCGAUCAGUAAUACGUUCUUGGCCCAUUAGACAAGCCCGACAUGGGCCCUUUUGCUUAUUGCCCGAGAUGGCAGAUCGUGGGUACAACAGUUGCCCCCCAAGUCUCCCGAGCUGAACAGUUCGGGGGACUUUUAACCUUCAAGCGAUCGAUUUUGGGAAACUGAAUAUCCCCCAUAUCUCCACGAUUUGAUCGUGGUAAUGAUGAGAUUUGCCUUCCCGAACAAGCCUCAGGGCCCACUAGGUGGCGUGUUAGCUAUAAGAGAGAGAGAGAGAACGGUGCGAGACCUUUUACUUCCCCAGGUAAUCAUUACUCCCUGGUUCCGUGUAUAAAGGUAAACUCGACUUUACUCUUUCACUCUUAAUCCCCAAUUGUGCUUGUGUUUUCUCCGUUUUUUGAUUUUCUCUCUUUCCUUCUGUGAACUUCUUUUACUUUCGCCGGAAAAUCCUUCACUCUCCCUUUAUUUCUUACUACUUUUACCGGGAAAGCAUGUCUCCGCCAAAAUCCUCAUCGGGAAAACCGCAAAACCCUUAAUUCCGGGCGUUUUCGGCCCCCACAAGCCGUCGAUUCUCUCUGCGGAAAGCAUAGCCGAGAUUAGAGGAUCCACCGGGAUUCCGCCGGAGGUGGAGAUCAGAUUCCCGGAGGCUCAUGAGUCUCCGGAAAACCCCCCUCUGGGGUACUGUUGCGCGUUCGAGAUAUUCUUCUCUGCGUGCGGUCUGUCGUUCCCCCUUCCCGAACUCAUCGUGACGAUGAUGUUCGAACUGGGCUUCGCUCUUCCCCAGAUGUGCCCCAACUUUGUUCCAACUGUCUUUUGCCUUCAAACUCUGGGGGAGGAGUUCAACUACCAGUUAUCAUUGGCCGACUUCCUCCAGGUGUACACGGUGAAGACUGGUCGCACCAAGGGCACACUCUACGUGAGCCUGCUUGCCGGGCUAAAGGUCUUUGACGACCUGCUUGAGAAGGAUGAAAAGUGGCGGAAGUCCUAUUUCUUCUUCCAGGUUAACGAGCUCACUUUUGGCCACCGCGUGAGUUCGCACGUAUCAAAGUGGACUUCGAAAAUCGGUAGAAUGGAGUUCCUUGCUAGGUCCAAGUUAAGUAUUGCUUGACUUCCCGUCUCACCUUUUAACUGUUUCUUUUUCAGAUCACUUCGAACGCGGAUUGCUUUGCCCCACAUUCGCAGAGUUUUUCUCGAGGUUCUGCAGCCAGGGACAGAUUGCUUGGGAUUCUUUCUCCUGCGAAAGGAUCAGAGAGUCCACGGUGAGGCUCGGAAGACGUUUUCUAGUCUGUUCUACCCCCGUGAGCGUUUCGGAGAUGAAUUACAGGGAAGAAAGGGCAUGCCGAGCUGCCGAAAAAGAGGCAAAGAAACAUAUGGCGAUGGCCCUUGCUGAAGGUAAAGCUCGCCUUUCUAACAAGAAUUCCUCCGGAUCCUCCGUUCCCGAGGUGAGCGGGACUUCCGCACCUCCAACUGGCUCUCCCGAGCUGGGUACAGAAUCAACCAGGGCUCCUGCUGGCCCGUUGGUUCCCUCCGUGAUUGUCAUUGUUUACCGUGUGUCCGGAGCGAGGAUUGGGAAUCCGGAUGCUGUCGUUUUAAAUAAAAUGGAAGUACACAACAUUGUUUUGUAGACUAUAUAAUUUUAAUAAAUUGGUUACAAAUAGGUUAUGGAUUAUUUGAUAGAUUAGUUGGUUACAAGUUAAAUAGUGGGUUCAACAUUACUUUAUUUUUGGAAG